ensembl:lncRNA
CCCACAAGUGCUAGAAGGGAAUUCUUCCUUAUUCCCUCUCCCAAUUACAUAAAUCUGAAUGACAAGCUAUUUAAUCUCGGUAAUGGUUAACAGUCUCUGAUUACAACAGUUAAUUUUACCCAAAGGAAUAGCAGCUACUAGUUGGGAAAGCUGUAGUAAAACCUUGCUAAUGAGAACCAUGUUCAAGGAUAGUGUGGCUAAAAGUUGGGUUUCUAUAAACCAGUUCAUUUUUUCUUUAUGAACGUAUUUUACUUUUAUCAUGCUGAGACCAGCAAGAAGGUCCAAACAUAUGUAAAUCUUGCACAUUUCUGAAAACUGCUUUGGAACAUCCUGAGUCUCUUUCAAGCAGCAGGGACUGCUUCUCACUUCUACAAACAACUGCUUUCACACUGGCUUCUUUAAUUAAAGCUUUUAAAGCACUUUAUGUUGUAAGAUAUAGCCUGCAUGGAACAAAAGCACUGGCUCUGAAAGUGGUGGUGACCUGCAGAAGUAGGGUCUUCUCAGGGAGUCUACUUAGCUCUUAAAGUACUGGUAAAUGUUGUGUCACCUGCCUACAGUAGCAGUACAGUGUGAAGAAAGAACCAGCCCACAGCAGUCAGUCUGGCUCCUGAGAUAGCAUCUGUUUGUUCUGGAUUUGAAAAGAAAGUUUGGGAAUUUUCGCUGUGAUGUUAGGCUCUCAGACACAAAUGCUUUCAAUGUUUAGUGCUCCUGUGUGCUGAAUCUUUCUGUUUCUCAUCGCUUUUGGACUUGAAGUGAUGUAGACUUAUCUGAUGAGAAAACGCAUUUUCUAAAGGAUGCCAGAGGGUGUAGCCCUGUGCUUUAAACCUGCUAUGCAGGAUUUAUUUUUCAUCGUAUAAUUGAAUAGUUUCCUAUUAAAUCAUUGCUCACUUACUGACAAAUUAUCCCAAAGAGCACUAAGUAAGUAUAAAAUGUUAAACUUUGCUAUCUUUCCAUUGCUCCUAGGGGCCUAGAUUCACAGAAUCACAGAAUCACAGAAUGGCCUGGGUUGGAAGGGACCUCAAGGAUCAUGAAUCUCCAACCCCUAUUCCAGGCAGGGCCACCAACCUCCCCAUUUAAGAGACCAGGUUGCCCAGGGCCCCAUCCAACCUGGCCUUGAACACCUCCAGGGAUGGGGCAUCCACAACCUCUUUGGGCAGCCCGUUCCAGCACCUCACCACUCUCCUGUACUUAUAACAGAAGAAGCGGAUAUGGAGAAACAGAAUGAAGGGGGAAAAAAAAAGGUCUUACACUUUAUCGCCUCAGUGAGUAUCCAAAAUGAGGCCAUCUUCUGAGUCAGGACAAGAACUCACAAACCCUCUCUGAUACGAUACUACUGCUACUCUAUGAUAUUACCACUAUGAAGUUUAUAAGCAGAUGUCUGCACCAAAGGAUGGUGUUCUCACCGAGACCUUCGGUUUGAGACUGAGAUUCCCUGCUGAUGAGAUCGUCUGUGCUAUCAGAUCUCUGAGCUGGUGCCAUCACAGCAUCUUCCUUUAUCUUUACUUACUAUCUUUACUUAUAAUCUGAUCCUGGCUCUGCAUAGUUAUUUGCUAAACUUUCACUGCUGUUGGUUUCAGUAAAUGUAGUCUCCUUUUGCCCAGCCAGGGAGGAGGCUUGGGAAACAAGCUCCUGUGAUUUGGCUACAUCUGUGAGAAUUGGCCUUAUUUAUCUCGGAAACUUCUUCUCUUUCCCAGACCUCUACUCCCAGAUCUGCUACUGAGAAGCACUGUUGAGCAUUGGGCUAUUACAGCUAUUAUAGUACUUGAAUUUAUUCCUUUUGUUUUGUUAUUUUGCCUUAAUAUUUGUGCCAUUUUAGAGCUGACAUGGUAUAGUACAG